UACGUAGGGUGCGAGCGUUGUCCGGAAUUAUUGGGCGUAAAGAGCUCGUAGGCGGUCUGUCGCGUCGGCUGUGAAAACCCGGAGCUCAACUCCGGGCCUGCAGUCGAUACGGGCAGACUUGAGUUCGGCAGGGGAGACUGGAAUUCCUGGUGUAGCGGUGAAAUGCGCAGAUAUCAGGAGGAACACCGGUGGCGAAGGCGGUUCUCUGGGCAUUACCUGACGCUGAGGAGCGAAAGUGUGGGGAGCGAACAGG
rnacentral:rRNA from 1 species